rnacentral:rRNA from 1 species
GAUGAACGCUAGCGGGAGGCUUAACACAUGCAAGCCGAGGGGUAUGAUUCUUUCGGGAAUCAGAGACCGGCGUACGGGUGCGUAACGCGUAUGUAACUUGCCCUGUUCAAAGGGAUAGCCCAGGGAAACUUGGAUUAAUACCUUAUAAUACAAUUAAUGGCAUCAUUAGAAGUUAAAAGAUUUAUCGGAACAGGAUAGACAUGCGUCAGAUUAGCUAGUUGGUAGGGUAAUGGCCUACCAAGGCGAUGAUCUGUAGGGGGCCUGAGAGGGUGAACCCCCACACUGGUACUGAGACACGGACCAGACUCCUACGGGAGGCAGCAGUGAGGAAUAUUGGACAAUGGGUGAGAGCCUGAUCCAGCCAUCCCGCGUGCAGGAAGACGCCCUAUGGGUUGUAAACUGCUUUUAUACAGGAAUAAACCACCUUACGUGUAGGGUGUUGAAGGUACUGUAUGAAUAAGCACCGGCUAACUCCGUGCCAGCAGCCGCGGUAAUACGGANGGUGCAAGCGUUAUNCGGAUUUAUUGGGUUAAANGGUCCGCAGGCGGGCCUGUAAGUCAGGGGUGAAAGCCGGCAGCUUACUGUCGAACUGCCUUUGAAACU